GCCGGCAGAGCCCUUAAGCCACUCUUCUGCCUUGGCUGGGACCUUUGAGGCCUUCUGGAGUGCUUCCAGAAUCCUCCAUUAUUUUCCUCACACCUCCACUUGGGAAAGGCCAAAAAUGCACUUGGGAUAGAAGACAUCAAGCCCUUCCAAUGGCGACAGAAAGAGCUCUGCCUCACUCUUCCUCCUCUCUUCUCUGUGGUCAUGAAGAAAGUGGUUCAAAUGUUUCCAGCAAGGAAAAGAUCGGUCUUGUUAGCUACCAGGAGAACAGAACUGUGUGUCCCCAGGGGUGGCUGGAGCUCACAGGCAGAGGCAAAGGAAAUUCCCCUGAAACAACAAAUGAGGAGGAAUAGGACAAUGCAUCUUAAAGCACCAGAGCCUGCUUCCCCACCAUCUUAUAGUCAGUCACAACACACAGAGCUACAGUAGUCACCUUGCCACUGUGACAGGAGACAACGCCACUGCACUCAACAUCACAAGAUGAAAAAGAAAAUAUCAAGGGUUUCUGAAAAGAUCG
rnacentral:lncRNA from 1 species